CGCCUGCAGGGCAGCGCCAGCCGGCGGGCGGCUCUGAAUCCGGGCCUGGGCCUGGGCCUGGGCCUCAGCGCGGGCGGAGGCGAAGGCCUGCUUGAGGGAGUGGUCGCCGGGGAAAUUGGCAUAUCUUUGCAAAAAAGUACCCAAGGAGCGCGGGAGAGCUCGGCGUAGAGUGGGCGUCCAGUUUGACACAAAGGCCCAGGAAUGCGGCUUACACAGUCCUGACCCUACAGCUGGCCCUCCAUCCUCUCUGCUCUCCCAGGAGAAGAUGGGAACUGGCUUCUUCAGCCAAGGACAAAGCCACGGUGGACAAUCGCAGGCCUAGACCCAAGGUUUGCCCUCCCUCCUGCCUCCAUCUUUACAAAUCUCAUGCAUGAGGCCAACUCCCCUCCUACUGAUGACUCCAUCUCCUCCGCUGAACUCAUCUCCAUCUCUCUGCUGAUCUCAUGGAGUGGAACCUCAAGCCACUCCACUGGCACUUGAUUUUGUAGUCUUGUGUGUAUACAUUCCACUUCAUUAUGAGACGGUAGAUAGAGGCUAAGAUAAUGGAUGAGCUUUGAAGUCAAAUGGACAAGCAUUCAAAUCCUGGCUCUAUCUCUGUGCCCUCCUGGCAAGUUACUGAACCUGUCUCACCUUCAGUUGCUUCAGCUAUAAAAACAAAGUCUUGCUCUGUCACAAGGGUGGAGUGCAGCGGCACGAUCUCGGCUCACUGCAACCUCUGACUGACUUCCUGGUUCAAGCGAUUCUCCUGCCUCAGCCUCCCAAGUAGGUGGGAUUACAGGCAUGUGCCACCACACCCAGCUAAUUUUUGUAUUUUUAGUAGAGACGGGGUUUCACCAUGUUGGCCAGGAUGGUCUCAAUCUCCCGACCUCAUGAUCCGCCCACCUUGGCCUCCCAAAGUGCUGGGAUUACAGGCAUGAGCUACUGUGCCCAGCCGCUUAAAGAACUUAUUAAAUACAUUCUUUAUAAAGACACAUGCGUAUGUUCAUUGCUGCACUAUUCACAAUAGCAAAGACAUGGAAUCAACCUAAAUGCCCACCAGUAAUAGACUGGAUAAAGAAAAUGUGGUAUAUAUACACCAUGGAAUUCUAUGCAGUCAUAAAAAGGAACAAGAUAAUGUCCUUUGCAGGGACGUGGAUGGAACUGGAGGUCAUUAUCCUUAGCAAACAAAUGCAGGAACAGGAAACCAAAUACCGCAUGUUCUCACUUAUAAGUGGGAGAUAAGUGAUGAGAACACAUGGAUACAUGGAACCACACGCACUGGGGCCUGUCAGAUGAGACGGGAUGAGGGGAAGGAGAGGAUCAGGAAGAAUAGCUAAUGGAUGCUGGGCUUAAUAACUGGGCGACGGGAUGAUCUGUGCAGCAAAUCACCAUGGCACAUGUUUACCUAUGUAACAAACAUGCACAUGCUGCACAUGUACCCAGGAACUUAAAAGUUAGAAAUGAAAAAAAACUUACAUUCUAGUGGGUGAUAUACAUAAGAUGAACAUGUGGCCAAACAGAUAAUAUUAAAGUGAUAAUUGCAAUUUUACUUUAAAAAAGACCAUAGAGAUUGAUUAGAUUGGGGGAGGAGGUGGAGCACUAUUUUAGAUAGGGCAAUCAGGAGAGGUUCUCUGAGAGGGUGACAUUUGUGUAGGGACCUGAAUGAUGGAGAGAGCUAUGCAAAAAUCUGGAGAGAGCUGAUGUAAAGAUCCUGAAGCAGAAGUAAGCUCAGUGUAUUCACAUAACAGAAGUAAGGUCAACACAGUUAGGGCAGGAUAAGAGAGGAGUGAAGUAGGAGGUGAGAUGGGAGAGAGAAUAUGUGUGGAAGAGGCUCCAUAAAUAUUCUUUUUUUUUUUUUUUUUUUUUUUGGGACAGAGUCUCACUCUAUCACCCAGGCUGGAGUACAGUGGCACGAUCUUGGCUUAUUGCAACCUCUGCCUCCUGGGUUCAAGCGAGCACAUCCAGCUAAUUUUUUGUAUUUUCAGUAGAGAUGGGGUUUCGCCAUGUUGUCUAGGCUGGUCUCAAACUCCUGACCUCAAGUGAUCCGCCUGCCUCAGCCUCCCACAGUGCUGGGAUUACAGGUGUGAGCCACCACACCUGGCCCAGAAAAAACUGGAAACAAUCCAAAUGUCCAUCCAUAGGUGAAUGGAUGAACAGAUUGUGGUAAAUUCAUUCAGUGGAUGUUUUAGUCCAUUCUGUGUUGCUAUAGCAGAAUACCUGAGACUGGGCACUUUAUAAACAAUAGAAAUUUAUUUGGUUCACGGUUCUGGAUGCUGGGGAGACUAAGAGUAUAGCAGCAGCAUCUGGUGAUGGCCUUUGUGCUUCAUCAUAACCUUACCGCUUAAUGCCAUCACAAUGACAAUUAAAUUUCAACAUGAGUUUUGGGGGGACAUUCAAAACCAUAGCAAUGGAACACUACUCAACAAUAAAAAUGAAAUGAGUUACUGACACAUUCAAAAACAUGGUGGUUGGGCCACCCAGUUGGGGCAUCUAUAUAUUAUAUGCAGUUAAGUGAUUAGUUAUGCUUAUAUAAUAUUUAUAGUUUGGAAUAUUUAUGUUGCAUUUGUGGUGUUAACUAACCAUUCCUGUGGUGCUGAAGCAGCAUCACUGUCUGGGGUAAACACCUGGGGUUCAUUGUCUCGUGCUAAGAAGAUUAAGGACACGGACAAACAAGGAGUGAGUUUGGAAGCAGAGGUUUAAUAGGCAAAAGAAAGAGAAAGGAGAGCAGCUCUUUUUUGUGAGAGAGAGAGGCGUUGUCUGUAGGGGAAAAGCUGGCCUGCAGCAGACUGCAGCAGAUUUUAUAGGCAGGCUUGAGGAGGUGGUGUCUGAUUUAUGAAGGGCCCACAGAUUGGUUCGACCAGGUGUGAUGUUUACGUAGCACAAGGAGACGGCUGGUUGCCCCACCCCAAUCUUAUUAUGCAAAUGGGCUUUCCACUUGGCCAGUGCCAUCUUGUCUGCUUCUUACUGUACACAUGGCUAGCAAAGAGAAGGAAAUAUGCAGCUACCAUUUUAAUCAUGCCUAGUGCCAGGUAGCCUUUUCCUAUUGGCACAACUGCCAGCAUUCACCCAUGCAAGCUUCCAGCUUGCUUGUCUAUGCCUGCAGCUCGAUUUUACAGGCUGCUCUUUGUUAGAAAAGAAAAUGAUUUGGGGGCUGCUUUUCAUUAAAAGAAAAACCUUACCAAGGACUUCCUUACCUUCACAAUCUGCCUAAGUAAUUUCUUUUUAACUCCUUUAUCAGUGUUUCUCAAAUUUACCUGAUAAUAAUUACCUGGUGCAGGCCAGGCGCAGUGGCUCACGCCUGUAAUCCCAGCACUUUGGGAGGCAGAGGUGGGUGGAUCACCUGAGGUUGGGAGUUCGAGACCAGCCUGACCAACAUAGAGAAACCCCAUCUCUACUAAACACACAAAAUUAGCCGGGCAUGGUGGCGCAUGCCUGUAAUCCCAGCUACUCGGAAGGCUGAAGCAGGAGAAUCACUUGAACCCCGGGAGGCAGAGGUUGCGGUGAGCCAAGAUGGCGCCACUGCACUCCAGCCUGGGCAACAAGAGCAAAACUCCGUCUCAAAAAUAAUAAUAAUAAUAAUAAUUACCUGGUGCAGUAGGCUGAAUAAUGGCCCCACUAUGUCCAUGCCCUAAACCUUGGAACAUGUGAAUGUUACCUUGAAUAGUGUUUUUGACUGUUUUCUGUUGCUAUAACAGAAUACCUGAGGCUGGAUAAUUUAUAAAUAAAAGAAAUUUAUUUCUCACACUUCUGAAGUCUGGAAAGUCCAAGAGCAUGGCACCGGCAUCUGCUCAACUUCUGAUGAGGGUUUUCAUGGUGAAGGGCAUCACAUGGCAAAAGACCACAGGCAUGCAAACUCAAGUCUCUCUUCCUCUUCUUAUAAAGCCACCAGUCCCAUCAUAGGAGCCCCAUCCUGAUGACGUCACCUAAUACUAAUUACCUCCCCAAAUCUCUGCCUCCAAAUAGCAUCAAGGUAUGAAUUUGGGGAUUUAGUUUUCAACACACGAAAUUUGAGGGACACGUCCAAACCAUAUAGCAUAUGGCAAAGGGAGUUUGCAGAUGUGACUGAGUUAAGAUCUUGAACUUGGAGAUAAUGCUGGAUUAUCCAAGUGGACCCAAUGUCCAAUGGUCCUUAUAAAAGGAGCACAGAAGGAGUCAAAGUUUGAGGAGAAGGUGAUGUGAUUAUAGAAGCAGUAACUGGAGUGAUGCUCUUCAAAGAUGGUGGAACGGGACACAGGCAGCCACCAGAAGCUGAAAAAGGCAAAGAAAUGGAUUCUCCCCUCAGAGCCUCCAGAAGAAACCUCCUAUCAACACCUUGACUUUAGCCUAGUGAAACCAAUUUUGGGUUUCUGACCUCCAGGACAAUAAUAAAUCCAUGUUGUUUUAAGCCACUAAAUUUGUGGUAAUUUGUUACAGUGGCAAUAGGAAACUAAUACACCUGAGGUACUUGCUAAAUAUACAAAUUACCAUCCUUCUCCUAUAUAAAUUCUUAUUAUGGAGGUCUAAGCUGGGAGCCAAAGAAUCUGUUUUUUAACAAGGGUCCAGGGGAUGUUUAUCUUCAGGUCAAUUUGGGAACUGUUGCUGUAGUGAACUGGGAUAGCUCAGCCAAAUUCUUUACCACUUUUCUGGUGAUGGACUUCAUCUGCUUUGGCUACAAGUGUGGAGACAUAACCAAGGAUUGGUCAGUCCUGGCACUCCAUUGCUCUAGAGCUUGAGACUGGUUCACAGGCAGACGUGGUCCACACUGACCAAUCACAAUCCUUCUCUAAGACAUUAUACAUGGAAGCCAUCAGAGAAACGUGUUCUUUCUUUGUGCUGGGAUUUGGUUUAACAGUGGUACCCCAGCAUGGAGUAUUGGCCUGCCACUCCUGGCAGUCAGCUUCUCUGACUACAUCGAGGAAGCUCAUUUGCAGUAGGAAAGAAGAUAAUAAACAAGAAAGCAGAGUAGAAAGCCAGAAGGAGAGAGAGAGAAAACCCUACUCUCCUUUGAGCCUCAGAUCCAAUUGCAUUUGAUGCUGGUACCAUCCCUGUUUUUUUGACCUAUGAGAAUCAAUACAUCUUAUUAUUUUUCAAGCUCAUUGAAUUGGUUUUCAGUCUCUUGAAAUAUAUGGACUCCUAACUCUCACACUGGGAUGUUAUCUGGAGUGGGAGGGGAAUAAAUUUUUUACAUUGUCUGGCU